GUAGGGAAUAUUGGACAAUGGGGGGAACCCUGAUCCAGCCAUGCCGCGUGGAGGAAGACUGCCCUCUGGGUUGUAAACUCCUUUUAUAUGGGAAGAACCGUCCUCAUUAAUGAGUGACCUGACGGUACCAUAGGAAUAAGCACCGGCUAACUCCGUGCCAGCAGCCGCGGUAAUACGGAGGGUGCAAGCGUUAUCCGGAUUCACUGGGUUUAAAGGGUGCGUAGGCGGAUAAAUAAGUCAGUGGUGAAAUCAACGGGCUCAACCUGUUAACUGCCAUUGAUACUGUGUAUCUUGAAUAUGAGAGAGGUAGGCGGAAUGUUGCAUGUAGCGGUGAAAUGCUUAGAUAUGCUACGGAACACUGAUUGCGAAGGCAGCUUACUAUUUCAUGAUUGACGCUGAGGCACGAAAGCGUGGGUAGCGAACAGGAUUAGAAACCCGGGUAGUCC
rnacentral:rRNA from 1 species